UGAAAACAACAACAACAACAACAAAAAGAAGGAAAAUUCGGACACGCUUUUAAAGAGGGGCCUAACUUUAUCCCACACGCACAAUUCAUUUUUGUUCUUUUCUUUCCCCUUUUUGCUCACACAAU
rnacentral:ribozyme from 1 species